UACGUAGGGGGCAAGCGUUGUCCGGAUUUAUUGGGCGUAAAGAGCGUGUAGGCGGCCAGACAGGUCCGUUGUGAAAACUCGAGGCUCAACCUCGAGACGUGGAUGGAAACCGUCUGGCUAGAGUCCGGAAGAGGAGUGUGGAAUUCCUGGUGUAGCGGUGAAAUGCGCAGAUAUCAGGAAGAACACCUAUGGCGAAGGCAGCACUCUGGGACGGUACUGACGCUGAGACGCGAAAGCGUGGGGAGCGAACAGG
rnacentral:rRNA from 1 species